rnacentral:rRNA from 1 species
CAGCACCUCAAGUGGUCAGGAUGAUUAUUGGGCCUAAAGCAUCCGUAGCCGGCGCUGUAAGUUUUCGGUUAAAUCUGUACGCUCAACGUACAGGCUGCCGGGAAUACUGCAGCGCUAGGGAGUGGGAGAGGUAGACGGUACUCGGUAGGGAGGGGUAAAAUCCUUUGAUCUAUUGAUGACCACCUGUGGCGAAGGCGGUCUACCAGAACACGUCCGACGGUGAGGGAUGAAAGCUGGGGGAGCAAACCGGAUUAGAGACCCGAGUAGUCC